rnacentral:rRNA from 2 species
CAAACCGGAGGAAGGUGGGGAUGACGUCAAAUCAUCAUGCCCCUUAUGAUUUGGGCUACACACGUGCUACAAUGGACAAUACAAAGGGCAGCGAAACCGCGAGGUCAAGCAAAUCCCAUAAAGUUGUUCUCAGUUCGGAUUGUAGUCUGCAACUCGACUACAUGAAGCUGGAAUCGCUAGUAAUCGUAGAUCAGCAUGCUACGGUGAAUACGUUCCCGGGUCUUGUACACACCGCCCGUCACACCACGAGAGUUUGUAACACCCGAAGCCGGUGGAGUAACCUUUUAGGAGCUAGCCGUCGAAGGUGGGACAAAUGAUUGGGGUGAAGUCGUAACAAGGUAGCCGUAUCGGAAGGUGCGGCUGGAUCACCUCCUUUCUAAGGA